rnacentral:tRNA from 1 species
GAGGGAGUUAUAAGACCUGCUAACUCUUUAACCUGGGAUUAGUCCCCAGCCCCCUC